rnacentral:piRNA from 1 species
UAUUUAAAAUGAAUACAGUGU